rnacentral:rRNA from 1 species
CUCAUGGUUUCACGGUAUUGCAAUGAGAACAAUUUAAAACCCUUAGCGAGAAUCAAGUGGAGGACAAGUCUGGUGCCAGCACCCGCGGUAAUUCCAGCUCCACUAGCGUAUAUUAAAGUUGUUGCAGUUAAAAAGCUCGUAGUUGAACCUCUGUCUGGGGCUAGUUUUGGCUUUGGUCAGGCUAGUUCUAGGCAUCCGCCUACAAGACUUAGAGGGCAUUCAGUUGUUCACUAGGAGGAGUAGGCAUUUUACUUUGAAAAAAUUAGAGUGUUUAAGGCAGGCAAUCGCCCGCAUAUAUUAGCAUGGAAUAAUAGAAUAGGACACUUUUCCAUUUCGUUGGUUAUUGGAAUCGUGUAAUGAUUAAUAGGGACAGUUGUGGGCAUUUGUAUUUAAUUGUCAGAGGUGAAAUUCUUGGAUUUAUUAAAGACAAACUAACGCGAAAGCAUUUGCCAAGGAUGUUUUCAUUAAUCAAGAACGAAAGUUAGGGGAUCAAAGACGAUCAGAUACCGUCCUAGUCUUAACUAUAAACUAUUCCGACUCAAUGUUUGACUGGCUUAUAUAACCAGUUGAGCGUUGUAUGAGAAAUCAAAGUCUUUAGGUUCUGGGGGGAGUAUGGUUGCAAAGCUGAAACUUAAAGGAAUUGACGGAAGAGCACAACCAGGAGUGGAUUCUGCGGCUUAAUUCGACUCAACACGGGGAAACUUACCAGGUUAAAACAAUAGUGGGAUUGACAGUUUGAGAGCGCUUUCUUGAUUGGUUGGGUGGUGGUGCAUGGCCGUUCUUAGUUGGUGGAGUGAUUUGUCUGCUUAAUUGCGUUAACGAACGAGACCUUAACCUGCUUACUAGACUGGCGAUCAUCAAUCGUUAGCUCUUCUUAGAGGGACUUUGGUUGUUUUAACUCCAAGGAAGUUUGAGGCAAUAACAGGUCUGUGAUGCCCUUAGAUAUCCUGGGCCGCACGCGUCAUACAAUGACUAGUUCAGAAAGUUUUCUCCUGACCCGAAAGGGGAUGGGUAAUCUUGAUAAUACUAGUCGUGUUAGGGAUCGAUCUUUGCAAUUAUAGAUCUUGAACGAGGAAUUCCUAGUAAGUGCGGUUCAUCAGACCGUACUGAUUACGUCCCUACUCUUUGUACACACCGCCCGUCGCUUCUACCGAGUGGGUGGUCCGGUGAGAUAAUUGAACUUCGCAGGUAACUGAGAGGAAAGAUUAUCAAACCUAUCCACCU